rnacentral:rRNA from 1 species
GAGUGGCGAACUGGUGAGUAACACGUGGGAAACCUGCCCAGAAGCGGGGGAUAACACCUGGAAACAGAUGCUAAUACCGCAUAACAACUUGGACCGCAUGGUCCGAGUUUGAAAGAUGGCUUCGGCUAUCACUUUUGGAUGGUCCCGCGGCGUAUUAGCUAGAUGGUGGGGUAACGGCUCACCAUGGCAAUGAUACGUAGCCGACCUGAGAGGGUAAUCGGCCACAUUGGGACUGAGACACGGCCCAAACUCCUACGGGAGGCAGCAGUAGGGAAUCUUCCACAAUGGACGAAAGUCUGAUGGAGCAACGCCGCGUGAGUGAAGAAGGGUUUCGGCUCGUAAAACUCUGUUGUUAAAGAAGAACAUAUCUGAGAGUAACUGUUCAGGUAUUGACGGUAUUUAACCAGAAAGCCACGGCUAACUACGUGCCAGCAGCCGCGGUAAUACGUAGGUGGCAAGCGUUGUCCGGAUUUAUUGGGCGUAAAGCGAGCGCAGGCGGUUUUUUAAGUCUGAUGUGAAAGCCUUCGGCUCAACCGAAGAAGUGCAUCGGAAACUGGGAAACUUGAGUGCAGAAGAGGACAGUGGAACUCCAUGUGUAGCGGUGAAAUGCGUAGAUAUAUGGAAGAACACCAGUGGCGAAGGCGGCUGUCUGGUCUGUAACUGACGCUGAGGCUCGAAAGUAUGGGUAGCAAACAGGAUUAGAUACCCUGGUAGUCCAUACCGUAAACGAUGAAUGCUAAGUGUUGGAGGGUUUCCGCCCUUCAGUGCUGCAGCUAACGCAUUAAGCAUUCCGCCUGGGGAGUACGGCCGCAAGGCUGAAACUCAAAGGAAUUGACGGGGGCCCGCACAAGCGGUGGAGCAUGUGGUUUAAUUCGAAGCUACGCGAAGAACCUUACCAGGUCUUGACAUACUAUGCAAAUCUAAGAGAUUAGACGUUCCCUUCGGGGACAUGGAUACAGGUGGUGCAUGGUUGUCGUCAGCUCGUGUCGUGAGAUGUUGGGUUAAGUCCCGCAACGAGCGCAACCCUUAUUAUCAGUUGCCAGCAUUAAGUUGGGCACUCUGGUGAGACUGCCGGUGACAAACCGGAGGAAGGUGGGGAUGACGUCAAAUCAUCAUGCCCCUUAUGACCUGGGCUACACACGUGCUACAAUGGAUGGUACAACGAGUUGCGAACUCGCGAGAGUAAGCUAAUCUCUUAAAGCCAUUCUCAGUUCGGAUUGUAGGCUGCAACUCGCCUACAUGAAGUCGGAAUCGCUAGUAAUCGCGGAUCAGCAUGCCGCGGUGAAUACGUUCCCGGGCCUUGUACACACCGCCCGUCACACCAUGAGAGUUUGUAACACCCAAAGUCGGUGGGGUAACCUUUUUGGAG